rnacentral:rRNA from 1 species
UUCUACUCACUCCAACCCCUGUGACAUACCAAUUGUUGCCUCGGCGGAUCAGCCCGCUCCCGGUAAAACGGGACGGCCCGCCAGAGGACCCCUAAACUCUGUUUCUAUAUGUAACUUCUGAGUAAAACCAUAAAUAAAUCAAAACUUUCAACAACGGAUCUCUUGGUUCUGGCAUCGAUGAAGAACGCAGCAAAAUGCGAUAAGUAAUGUGAAUUGCAGAAUUCAGUGAAUCAUCGAAUCUUUGAACGCACAUUGCGCCCGCCAGUAUUCUGGCGGGCAUGCCUGUUCGAGCGUCAUUUCAACCCUCAAGCCCCCGGGUUUGGUGUUGGGGAUCGGCGAGCCCUUGCGGCAAGCCGGCCCCGAAAUCUAGUGGCGGUCUCGCUGCAGCUUCCAUUGCGUAGUAGUAAAACCCUCGCAACUGGUACGCGGCGCGGCCAAGCCGUUAAACCCCCAACUUCUGAAUGUUGACCUCGGAUCAGGUAGGAAUACCCGCUGAACUUAAGCAUAUCUAGAGAAGGGGGGAGGGGAA